rnacentral:rRNA from 1 species
CCUACGGGUGGCAGCAGUGAGGAAUAUUGGUCAAUGGACGAGAGUCUGAACCAGCCAAGUAGCGUGAAGGAUGAUUGCCCAAUGGGUUGUAAACUUCUUUUAUAUGGGGAUAAAACGUUCCACGUGUGGGAUUCGGUAUGUCCCUUAUGAAUAAGGAUCGGCUAACUCCGUGCCAGCAGCGGCGGUAAUACGGAGGAUCCGAGGUUUAUCCGGAUUUAUUGGGUUUAAGGGGAGCGUAGGUGGAUUGUUAAGUAAGUUGUGAAAGUUUGCGGCUCAACGGUAAAAUUGCAGUUGAAACUGGCAGGCUUGAGUACAGUAGAGGUGGGCGGAAUGUGUGGUGUAGCGGUGAAAUGCUUAGAUAUCACGAAGAACUCCGAUUGCGAAGGCAGUUCACUGGACUGCAACUGACACUGAGGCUCGAAAGUGUGGGUAUCAAACAGGAUUAGAUACCCCUGUAGUC